rnacentral:rRNA from 1 species
UGGCGACGGGUGAGUAACACGUGGGCAAUCUGCCCUGCACUCUGGGACAAGCCCUGGAAACGGGGUCUAAUACCGGAUAUGACGUGCGACCGCAUGGUCUGUACGUGGAAAGCUCCGGCGGUGCAGGAUGAGCCCGCGGCCUAUCAGCUUGUUGGUGGGGUGAUGGCCUACCAAGGCGACGACGGGUAGCCGGCCUGAGAGGGCGACCGGCCACACUGGGACUGAGACACGGCCCAGACUCCUACGGGAGGCAGCAGUGGGGAAUAUUGCACAAUGGGCGAAAGCCUGAUGCAGCGACGCCGCGUGAGGGAUGACGGCCUUCGGGUUGUAAACCUCUUUCAGCAGGGAAGAAGCGCAAGUGACGGUACCUGCAGAAGAAGCACCGGCUAACUACGUGCCAGCAGCCGCGGUAAUACGUAGGGUGCGAGCGUUGUCCGGAAUUAUUGGGCGUAAAGAGCUCGUAGGCGGCUUGUCACGUCGGAUGUGAAAGCCCGGGGCUUAACCCCGGGUCUGCAUUCGAUACGGGCAGGCUAGAGUUCGGUAGGGGAGAUCGGAAUUCCUGGUGUAGCGGUGAAAUGCGCAGAUAUCAGGAGGAACACCGGUGGCGAAGGCGGAUCUCUGGGCCGAUACUGACGCUGAGGAGCGAAAGCGUGGGGAGCGAACAGGAUUAGAUACCCUGGUAGUCCACGCCGUAAACGUUGGGAACUAGGUGUGGGCGACAUUCCACGUCGUCCGUGCCGCAGCUAACGCAUUAAGUUCCCCGCCUGGGGAGUACGGCCGCAAGGCUAAACUCAAAAGGAAUUGACGGGGGCCCGCACAAGCAGCGGAGCAUGUGGCUUAA